rnacentral:rRNA from 1 species
GAGUUUGAUCCUGGCUCAGGAUGAACGCUGGCGGCGUGCCUAAUACAUGCAAGUCGAACGAAACUUCUUUAUCACCGAGUGCUUGCACUCACCGAUAAAGAGUUGAGUGGCGAACGGGUGAGUAACACGUGGGCAACCUGCCCAAAAGAGGGGGAUAACACUUGGAAACAGGUGCUAAUACCGCAUAACCAUAGUUACCGCAUGGUAACUAUGUAAAAGGUGGCUAUGCUACCGCUUUUGGAUGGGCCCGCGGCGCAUUAGCUAGUUGGUGGGGUAAAGGCUUACCAAGGCAAUGAUGCGUAGCCGAACUGAGAGGUUGAUCGGCCACAUUGGGACUGAGACACGGCCCAAACUCCUACGGGAGGCAGCAGUAGGGAAUCUUCCACAAUGGGCGAAAGCCUGAUGGAGCAACGCCGCGUGGGUGAAGAAGGUCUUCGGAUCGUAAAACCCUGUUGUUAGAGAAGAAAGUGCGUGAGAGUAACUGUUCACGUUUCGACGGUAUCUAACCAGAAAGCCACGGCUAACUACGUGCCAGCAGCCGCGGUAAUACGUAGGUGGCAAGCGUUAUCCGGAUUUAUUGGGCGUAAAGCGAGCGCAGGCGGUUGCUUAGGUCUGAUGUGAAAGCCUUCGGCUUAACCGAAGAAGUGCAUCGGAAACCGGGCGACUUGAGUGCA